GGGUCCAACCUCCCACCCGUGUUUAUCGUACCUUGUUGCUUCGGCGGGCCCGCCUCACGGCCGCCGGGGGGCAUCCGCCCCCGGGCCCGCGCCCGCCGAAGACACACAAACGAACUCUUGUCUGAAGAUUGCAGUCUGAGUACUUGACUAAAUCAGUUAAAACUUUCAACAACGGAUCUCUUGGUUCCGGCAUCGAUGAAGAACGCAGCGAAAUGCGAUAAGUAAUGUGAAUUGCAGAAUUCAGUGAAUCAUCGAGUCUUUGAACGCACAUUGCGCCCCCUGGUAUUCCGGGGGGCAUGCCUGUCCGAGCGUCAUUGCUGCCCUCAAGCACGGCUUGUGUGUUGGGCUCUCGCCCCCCGCUUCCGGGGGGCGGGCCCGAAAGGCAGCGGCGGCACCGCGUCCGGUCCUCGAGCGUAUGGGGCUUCGUCACCCGCUCUGUAGGCCCGGCCGGCGCCCGCCGGCGAACACCAUCAAUCUUAACCAGGUUGACCUCGGAUCAGGUAGGGAUACCCGCUGAACUUAAGCAUAUCAAUAAGCGGAGGAA
rnacentral:rRNA from 1 species